rnacentral:lncRNA from 1 species
UUGCCUCCUCCACCUCCUUCCCCUCCAAUGCCAAUCCCUUCACCACCACCAGCACCAGUUGUCUCUCCGCCUCCGCCACCGCCUUCUCCACUACCACCUCCACCCCCGCCGCCGCCCCCGCCUUCUCCUUCACCUCCCUCUCCACCACCACCACCACCUCCACCCCCUUCUCCACCUCCACCAUCUCCUUCUCCGCCCCCACCGUCUCCUCCGCCACCUUCUCCGCCUCCCCCAUCACCUCCACCGCCGUCCCCUUCACCCCCACCACCACCGCCUCCAUCUCCUCCGCCGCCUUCACCACCACCUCCAUCUCCUCCUCCACCCUCACCAUCACCACCACCUCCAUCUCCCCCUCCACCCUCACCAUCACCACCACCUCCAUCUCCCCCUCCACCCUCACCAUCACCACCACCUCCAUCUCCCCCUCCACCCUCACCAUCACCACCCCCACCACCUUCACCGUCUCCGCCACCACCAUACUGUGUCCAUCCCCCGCCGCCACCUCCACCAC